GCUUCCUCUGAGAAUCUGAAUGUAUCAUCCUGCAAAUCAGUUUGGAAAUGUACAAGUGUUGUGCUGUCUGAUAUGAAGCUCUAGAAAAAACCCAAAGAAAACAUACAAGACAAGCAUUCCCUGGAAGUCAUGAGAAGAUGCUCCUCUCCUCCCAACUACGUGACUGCAGUUGCCAUGCUCACCUCCCCCAGAAACUGGAGAUGGUCUAGUCAGUGAGCAAAAGUUCCAAAGUGCUUGGAGAAAAAAGAUGAAAAACAAUUAUAUUUGAAAAGAAUCUGUACUUUAGUAAUAUCCCCAGUGUGUCUUGUGCGCAUUAAAAUGUGAAAUGCACUGCUUUAGACCUGCACAGUGCAACGUGGCAGCCAAUAGUCAUAGGUGGUUUCAAGAAUGUAAAAUGUUGCUCUCAGAAUUGAGAUGUGCUAUUAAGGGUAAAAUAUACACCAGAUUUCAAAGACUUAGAAUGAAAAAAAAUAUAUAUAUGUAAUGUCUCAUUAAGAUUUUUCUUUUGAU
rnacentral:lncRNA from 1 species